rnacentral:rRNA from 1 species
UUGAUCCUGCCGGACCCUACUGCUAUCGGGGUGAGACUAAGCCAUGCAAGUCAUGCGUCUCCUAGCCACGUUGGAGAUGCGGCGUACGGCUCAGUAACACGUGGUUAAUCUACCCUUAUGACUGAUAUAACCCCGGGAAACUGGGGCUAAUAUCGGAUAGGCUAAGCGCCCUGGAAUUGGUGUUUAGCUGAAAAGGUGUUGAGAACAUGCUCUUGACACUGCUUAAGGAUGAGACCGCGUCCGAUCAGGUUGUUGGUGGGGUAAUGGCCCACCAAGCCUAUAACCGGUACGGGCCCUGAGAUGGGAAGCCCGGAGAUGGAAUCUGAGACAAGAUUCCAGGUCUUACGGGGCGCAGCAGGCGCGAAAACUCCACAAUGCACGAAAGUGUGAUGGGGUUACCCCGAGUGCCGUCCGUUGAGGAUGGCUUUUAAUCAGUCUAAGGAGCUGUUAGAAUAAGGGGGGGGCAAGAUUGGUGUCAGCCGCCGCGGUAAUACCAACCCCCCGAGUGGUGGGGACGAUUAUUUGGCUUAAAGCGUUCGUAGCCGGCUUGGCAAGUCUUCUGCAAAAUCCAGCGAUCCAAUCGUUGGCUCGCAGAAGAUACUGUCAGGCUAGGAGGCGGGAGAGGUCGAUGGUAUUCCCGGGGUAGGGGUGAAAUCCUAUAAUCCUGGGAGGACCACCAGUGGCGAAGGCGGUCGACCAGAACGCGCUCGACGGUGAGGGACGAAAGCUGGGGGAGCAAACCGGAUUAGAUACCCGGGUAGUCCCAGCUGUAAACGAUGCAGGCUAGGUGUUGGAGUGGCUACGAGCCUCUUCAGUGCCGCAGGGAAACCGUUAAGCCUGCCGCCUGGGGAGUACGACCGCAAGGUUGAAACUUAAAGGAAUUGGCGGGGGAGCACUACAAGGGGUGAAGGCUGCGGUUUAAUUGGAUUCAACGCCGG